rfam:Nomascus leucogenys chromosome 14, whole genome shotgun sequence.
UUUCCCGAGCCGGGUCCAGAACCCGCCUCUCUCGGGGACCUUGACCUCGCGCGGACCUCGUCGCCUUGCUUAGCUCUCCCUGACCUGCUUUUGAACCCGCUAAUCCCGUCCCGAACUCUCGCCCCGCGGCAAUCCCUCGCCCCGGCCCCGGCGCGCUAAUUCCCGCUGACCCCGCCGCCCCGCCGCCUCUCUCGGCUCGCGCGGCUGUGACCAGGAUGAGGGGCUUCCCGCCUCUGCGUGCAGGUGUGAUUUGGAGCUCAGGCCACGACUGCCCCCUCAUUGUCCCCAGCCCGCGCUCGCACCCCCUAGGACCCAAGCAAAGCGUCUCUUGCGGCAAACAUUCUGUCCUUCUCUUGCUUCCUCUUGUUUCCCUAGCAUAAUUCAUGUAUUUCUUUAAGAAACCCAUCGGACCCACAAAGAUGAAAAUCUUCGAUCACACACUAAGCUGGCGACGCUGUGGGAAAGCAAGCACUCUCCCACGUGGCUGGCGCGCAGUGAGGGCGCAGGAAAGGUAAGCAGGAGACCCGCCGCUAGGAGCCAGCGCCAGGCCCUGGCUAGGCUGGCAGACAGGAAGAACCGCGGACAGGG